rnacentral:tRNA from 1 species
GCCGAACUAGCUCAGUUGGUAGAGCAACUGAUUUGUAAUCAGUAGGUCGUUGGUUCGAAUCCGACGUUCGGCACCA